rnacentral:rRNA from 1 species
UACCAGCACCCCGAGUGGUCGGGACGAUUAUUGGGCCUAAAGCAUCCGUAGCCGGUCAUGCAAGUCUUCCGUUAAAUCCACCUGCUUAACAGAUGGGCCGCGGAAGAUACUAUAGAGCUAGGAGGCGGGAGAGGCAAGCGGUACUCGAUGGGUAGGGGUAAAAUCCGUUGAUCCAUUGAAGACCACCAGUGGCGAAGGCGGCUUGCCAGAACGCGCUCGACGGUGAGGGAUGAAAGCUGGGGGAGCAAACCGG